rnacentral:rRNA from 1 species
CAGUCGCCACGGUAAUACGUAGGUGGCAAGCGUUGUCCGGAAUUAUUGGGCGUAAAGCGCGCGCAGGUGGUUUAAUAAGUCUGAUGUGAAAGCCCACGGCUCAACCGUGGAGGGUCAUUGGAAACUGUUAAACUUGAGUGCAGGAGAGAAAAGUGGAAUUCCUAGUGUAGCGGUGAAAUGCGUAGAGAUUAGGAGGAACACCAGUGGCGAAGGCGGCUUUUUGGCCUGUAACUGACACUGAGGCGCGAAAGCGUGGGGAGCAAACAGGAUUAGAUACCCGUGUAGUCCCUGUCUCUUAUAA